rnacentral:rRNA from 1 species
CUUAUACAAUGAAAUCACCCCGAAUGCACCCAUUCUCAUCAGUUGUCCAAAGCAAAGCAGGGGCAAACCUGAUUAGCACUUGAAUGGGAGACUGCCUGGGGAUACUGCGAGGUGUUGUUAGGC